rnacentral:rRNA from 1 species
GUCUAUGGCCAUGCUACCCUGGGGCCUGGUUAGUACUUGGAUGAGAGACCACCUAGGAAGACCAGGUGCUGUAGGUG